AUCCUUUUGCAAAUUUUGUUACUUUUAAGUCAAGAUAAGAAACCUUUCUAGGACACACUGUUAGGUGGUGUAGUAUCCACUUGAGUAAUUAUUUCGCUUGGCGAGAGUAUCUGGGUUGAAGGGUAGUGGACUGGACUGGAUCAAAUUUCUACUGAAGGGUAUAUAGCCUGUCUUCGAAUUGCGGCUUUCAGAUGCUUCUGCCAAUGCAAUGCAAUGCAAUUAAAUCAUGAUACUCAACUUGGGAAAAAUACAGUGUAACAUGCUUGUGUAUGUUUGACGUUGUUUACAUUUUUAAGCCGAAGAAAUCGUUUGUACAAAUAUUACAUUAUGCUCAGCUUCGAUGAAGUU
rnacentral:misc_RNA from 1 species